AGGACGAACGCUGGCGGCGUGCUUAACACAUGCAAGUCGAGCGGAAAGGCCCUUCGGGGUACUCGAGCGGCGAACGGGUGAGUAACACGUGAGCAACCUGCCCCUGGCUCUGGGAUAGCCUCCGGAAACGGGGAUUAAUACCGGACAUUCUCCUCCUUCCGCAUGGUUGGGGGGUGGAAAGUUUUUCGGCCAGGGAGGGGCUCGCGGCCUAUCAGCUUGUUGGCGGGGUAACGGCCACCAAGGCGACGACGGGUAGCCGGCCUGAGAGGGCGACCGGCCGACACUGGGACUGAGACACGGCCCAGACUCCUACGGGAGGCAGCAGUGGGGAAUAUUGCGCAAUGGGCGAAAGCCUGACGCAGCGACGCCGCGUGGGGGAUGAAGGCCUUCGGGUUGUAAACCCCUUUCACCACGGAGCGAAUCAAGACGGUACCUGGGGAAGAAGCGCCGGCUAACUACGUGCCAGCAGCCGC
rnacentral:rRNA from 1 species